AGCGAACGCUGGCGGCAGGCCUAACACAUGCAAGUCGAACGAACUCUUCGGAGUUAGUGGCGGACGGGUGAGUAACACGUGGGAACGUGCCUUUUGGUUCGGAAUAACUCAGGGAAACUUGUGCUAAUACCGAAUGUGCCCUUCGGGGGAAAGAUUUAUCGCCAUUAGAGCGGCCCGCGUCUGAUUAGCUAGUUGGUGAGGUAACGGCUCACCAAGGCGACGAUCAGUAGCUGGUCUGAGAGGAUGACCAGCCACACUGGGACUGAGACACGGCCCAGACUCCUACGGGAGGCAGCAGUGGGGAAUCUUGCGCAAUGGGCGAAAGCCUGACGCAGCCAUGCCGCGUGAAUGAUGAAGGUCUUAGGAUUGUAAAAUUCUUUCACCGGGGACGAUAAUGACGGUACCCGGAGAAGAGGCCCCGGCUAACUUCGU
rnacentral:rRNA from 1 species